rnacentral:rRNA from 1 species
AGAGUUUGAUCCUGGCUCAGAAUCAACGCUGGCGGCGUGCCUAACACAUGCAAGUCGCACGAGAAAGUGGAGCAAUCCAUGAGUACAGUGGCGCACGGGUGAGUAACACGUGACUAACCUACCCUCGAGUGGGGAAUAACUUCGGGAAACCGAGGCUAAUACCGCAUAACACUUACGAGUCAAAGCAGCAAUGCGCUUGGGGAGGGGGUCGCGGCAGAUUAGCUAGUUGGUGGGGUAAUGGCCCACCAAGGCGAUGAUCUGUAUCCGGCCUGAGAGGGCGCACGGACACACUGGAACUGAAACACGGUCCAGACUCCUACGGGAGGCAGCAGUGGGGAAUUUUGCGCAAUGGGGGAAACCCUGACGCAGCAACGCCGCGUGGAGGAUGAAAUCCCUUGGGAUGUAAACUCCUUUCGAUCGGGACGAUUAUGACGGUACCGGAAGAAGAAGCCCCGGCUAACUUCGUGCCAGCAGCCGCGGUAAUACGAGGGGGGCGAGCGUUGUUCGGAAUUAUUGGGCGUAAAGGGUGCGUAGGCGGUUUGAUAAGUCUGAUGUGAAAUCUAUGGGCUCAACCCAUAGCCUGCAUUAGAAACUGUCGGGCUUGAGUAUGGGAGAGGUGAGUGGAAUUUCCGGUGUAGCGGUGAAAUGCGUAGAUAUCGGAAGGAACACCUGUGGCGAAAGCGGCUCACUGGACCAUUACUGACGCUGAUGCACGAAAGCUAGGGGAGCAAACAGGAUUAGAUACCCUGGUAGUCCUAGCCCUAAACGAUGGUUGCUUGAUGUGGAGGGUACCCAAUCCUUCCGUGUCGUAGCUAACGCGAUAAGCAAUCCGCCUGGGGAGUACGGUCGCAAGGCUGAACUCAAAGGAAUUGACGGGGCCCGCACAAGCGGUGGAGCAUGUGGUUUAAUUCGACGCAACGCGAAGAACCUUACCUGGGCUCGAAAUGUAGUGG